GACGAACGCUGGCGGCGUGCUUAACACAUGCAAGUCGAACGGAAGGGCCCUGCUUUUGUGGGGUGCUCGAGUGGCGAACGGGUGAGUAACACGUGAGUAACCUGCCCUUGACUUUGGGAUAACUUCAGGAAACUGGGGCUAAUACCGGAUAGGAGCUCCUGCUGCAUGGUGGGGGUUGGAAAGUUUCGGCGGUUGGGGAUGGACUCGCGGCUUAUCAGCUUGUUGGUGGGGUAGUGGCUUACCAAGGCUUUGACGGGUAGCCGGCCUGAGAGGGUGACCGGCCACAUUGGGACUGAGAUACGGCCCAGACUCGUACGGGAGGCAGCAGUGGGGAAUAUUGCACAAUGGGCGGAAGCCUGAUGCAGCAACGCCGCGUGCGGGAUGACGGCCUUCGGGUUGUAAACCGCUUUCGCCUGUGACGAAGCGUGAGUGACGGUAAUGGGUAAAGAAGCACCGGCUAACUACGUG
rnacentral:rRNA from 1 species